rnacentral:rRNA from 1 species
AGCAACGCCGCGUGCGGGAGGACGGCCUGUGGGUUGUAAACCGCUUUUCUCAGGGAAGAAGAUCUGACGGUACCUGAGGAAUCAGCAUCGGCUAACUCCGUGCCAGCAGCCGCGGUAAUACGGAGGAUGCAAGCGUUAUCCGGAUUUAUUGGGCGUAAAGCGUCCGCAGGCGGCUAAUCAAGUCUGCUGUUAAAGGCCGAGGCUUAACUUCGGUUGAGCAGUGGAAACUGAUUAGCUAGAGUGCGAUAGGGGUAGAGGGAAUUCCCAGUGUAGCGGUGAAAUGCGUAGAUAUUGGGAAGAACACCAGUGGCGAAGGCGCUCUACUGGGUCGCAACUGACGCUGAGGGACGAAAGCUAGGGGAGCGAAAGGGAUUAGAUACCCCUGUAGUC